rnacentral:rRNA from 1 species
UACGGAGGGUGCAAGCGUUAUCCGGAUUCACUGGGUUUAAAGGGUGCGUAGGUGGGUUGGUAAGUCAGUGGUGAAAUCUCCAGGCUUAACUUGGAAACUGCCAUUGAUACUAUCAAUCUUGAAUGCCGUGGAGGUCAGCGGAAUAUGUCAUGUAGCGGUGAAAUGCUUAGAUAUGACAUAGAACACCAAUAGCGAAGGCAGCUCGCUGGGACGUUACUGACACUGAGGCGCGAAAGCGUGGGGAGCGAACAGG